GAGGGUAUAGCUCAAGCAGUAGAGAGCAUGCUUAGCACGCACAAGGUCCUGGGUUCAAUCCCCAGUACCUCCA
rfam:Camelus ferus unplaced genomic scaffold scaffold463, whole genome shotgun sequence.